UGGCUCAGAUUGAACGCUGGCGGCAGGCCUAACACAUGCAAGUCGAACGGUAACAGGAAGCAGCUUGCUGCUUUGCUGACGAGUGGCGGACGGGUGAGUAAUGUCUGGGAAACUGCCUGAUGGAGGGGGAUAACUACUGGAAACGGUGGCUAAUACCGCAUAACGUCGCAAGACCAAAGAGGGGGACCUUCGGGCCUCUUGCCAUCAGAUGUGCCCAGAUGGGAUUAGCUUGUUGGUGAGGUAACGGCUCACCAAGGCGACGAUCCCUAGCUGGUCUGAGAGGAUGACCAGCCACACUGGAACUGAGACACGGUCCAGACUCCUACGGGAGGCAGCAGUGGGGAAUAUUGCACAAUGGGCGCAAGCCUGAUGCAGCCAUGCCGCGUGUAUGAAGAAGGCCUUCGGGUUGUAAAGUACUUUCAGCGGGGAGGAAGGUGUUGCGGUUAAUAACCGCAGCAAUUGACGUUACCCGCAGAAGAAGCACCGGCUAACUCCGUGCCAGCAGCCGCGGUAAUACGGAGGGUGCAAGCGUUAAUCGGAAUUACUGGGCGUAAAGCGCACGCAGGCGGUCUGUCAAGUCGGAUGUGAAAUCCCCGGGCUCAACCUGGGAACUGCAUUCGAAACUGGCAGGCUUGAGUCUUGUAGAGGGGGGUAGAAUUCCAGGUGUAGCGGUGAAAUGCGUAGAGAUCUGGAGGAAUACCGGUGGCGAAGGCGGCCCCCUGGACAAAGACUGACGCUCAGGUGCGAAAGCGUGGGGAGCAAACAGGAUUAGAUACCCUGGUAGUCCACGCCGUAAACGAUGUCUACUUGGAGGUUGUGCCCUUGAGGCGUGGCUUCCGGAGCUAACGCGUUAAGUAGACCGCCUGGGGAGUACGGCCGCAAGGUUAAAACUCAAAUGAAUUGACGGGGGCCCGCACAAGCGGUGGAGCAUGUGGUUUAAUUCGAUGCAACGCGAAGAACCUUACCUGGUCUUGACAUCCACAGAAGAAUCCAGAGAUGGAUUUGUGCCUUCGGGAACUGUGAGACAGGUGCUGCAUGGCUGUCGUCAGCUCGUGUUGUGAAAUGUUGGGUUAAGUCCCGCAACGAGCGCAACCCUUAUCCUUUGUUGCCAGCGAUUAGGUCGGGAACUCAAAGGAGACUGCCAGUGAUAAACUGGAGGAAGGUGGGGAUGACGUCAAGUCAUCAUGGCCCUUACGACCAGGGCUACACACGUGCUACAAUGGCGCAUACAAAGAGAAGCGACCUCGCGAGAGCAAGCGGACCUCAUAAAGUGCGUCGUAGUCCGGAUUGGAGUCUGCAACUCGACUCCAUGAAGUCGGAAUCGCUAGUAAUCGUGGAUCAGAAUGCCACGGUGAAUACGUUCCCGGGCCUUGUACACACCGCCCGUCACACCAUGGGAGUGGGUUGCAAAAGAAGUAGGUAGCUUAACCUUCGGGAGGGCGCUUACCACUUUGUGAUUCAUGACUGGGGUGAAGUCGUAACAAGG
rnacentral:rRNA from 1 species